UCUAAGUCUUUAAUUUGUUUUGAAAUCUUAUCUAAUUCUACAUUAGUCUGUUUUUUAAGCUUAGCUGAGUAAGAAAUGAUCUGACCACGUAAAAAUGCUUUAAAUGUAUCCCAUAUGAUUAAGUUAGACAUACCCCCUAUAUCAUUUAAAAGAAAAAAAAUCUUUUAUCUGGGUAUAAAUCUUGCCUCCCUUAAAUGUUUCUCCUGUCGCAAACCUAUGCCCACUAGACUCCCCUACUCUUGGAAGAAGACAGCGAUCUUUCCCUAUUUACGCCCCUCAUGAUUUCAUAAACCUCUGGACCAGGGGUUAUGCCAUGGACCUCUACCUUUAACCAAGGGGUCCGCAGACCCCAGAUUGGGACCUGGGGAACCUGCUCUAUAAAGGUCAAUGCUUUACAGUACCAGCAAUGGGGGUUCAACUUCUGCCACCACCUGUAAGGAGUUUGUACGUUCUCCCUGUCACCCAGUGGGUUUCCUCCAGGUGCUCCAGUUUCCUCCCGCAGACCGAAGAUUUAUAAUUAAUUGGUCAUUUAUCAAUUGUCCUGUGAUUGGGCUAGGAUUAAAUCCCGGGUUGCUGGGUAGCAUGGUUGGAAGUGCUGAAUCUCAGUCUCUCACACUGCAGAAAAAUGUCCCAUUCAGUCCAGAUUCCCUUUAUAACUCAAGCCCUCCAGACGGGGAAUAACCUGGCAAAUCUUAAUGGCACCUUUCCACAGCAAGACCACCACAACUCCAAUGGCAACCCCACCGGCAGCAGCGUAAACGUCCCAUGAAGUGCCUCCAUAAACCUGGCCCCUCUCCCUCGCUCAAACGUCUGCGGGAAGGUGUGGGCGACGCCGUGCGGUACCUGUGGGCCGGGACUGAGCGCCGGAGCCCGGUGCGGAUCGCCCGCCGUUCGGUUUGGCAAUAUCGCAUCCUUUGACCUGAAAAGUUACUUCGACAUCACGCUCUCUUUUUUUCCGUUGGGUCCAACGUAGCCGACACUGGAACUUUCCGAGACUUUGAUGUGUGAGGAAGGAGGGGCGGGCAGAAGCUGUCGGAGCGACCUAUUUUACGGGCUCUUUGCGGUGGGGAGUGUGAGACGCGGGCCAGAGGAAGCGAGCCCCGAACAUAGCGCUCCUGGUAGCGAAGGCAGACAUGUGGGCAGCUCUGUUGGUCUCGGUUCUUCUGCAGAACUGUGUGCAGUGCAGUUAUCUGAUCAUCCAGCCGGCUCUAUCCCAGCCGGUUCGGCUGGGAGACACAGUGACCCUGACGUGUCUCUUGCAGCGUAAGAGCUUCACCGUUUACAGCAACAUGUACUGGAUGCGGCAACAGGAGGGGCAGGCCCCCAAGCUGUUGGCAUAUUCAUUUCUCAACUCCAGGCAGACCUUCCUGUCUGACGGGCUUUCGAACUCCUCAUCCUUCAAUGUGUUGGUGGACCACCAGAGCUUAAACCUAACCAUAGCCAGAGUGACUCCCUCGGAUGCUGGCACUUACCUCUGUGCAGGCUGGAGAUUAGGGAAACUGUCCUUCGGAAAUGGAACCAGGUUGACCCUGACAGGCUUCAGCAGCGCCCCGCCCCCGACCAGCAGCAGUGCCGCCGACGACCGCUCCCCGCCCUGCUGGCCGCUGUCCUCCCAGGCCAUGGGCCUGCUGGCGCUGGCCGCCGCCACCUUCCUGCUGCUGCUAACGGCCCUCAUCUACAUCACCCGGCAAAUGGCAGGUUGGCCUCGCACUCUGCCCGCUCAGCGGGCAUCAAUGAAUCCAUGUGCAGCCCACAGAGAGAACCCUGCCGAGGACGAGAUCCAUUAUGCUUCCAUGAGUUUAUCUCCUGCAGUGAAUCGGAAGGAUAGAGUGGUGUGUAACAUGGUGUACGCCGAGGUCAGGCAGGACCAUCUCUGAAGGAGGCCGGUGCCCCAUUGGCUGAAGACAAUCACAGCUAUUGUUGCUUACAAACGGUGGUAACGUCUUCGUGAUAGAGGUUAGAGCGAUGCUUUGUAGGGUUUAUUUAUGGCUGAAGAUGCCUUUUGCUUCUGCUCAAAAGUUAAGCCAGACAAGGAACCAGAAAACUCGUCAGAAACUAGAUGUAUUUAUUCCAACUAAAGGCUGCCUCGGUUGCCCAAUGGAGGUUACAACCAACGUUGCUAACAGAUGCCAGCUGAACAGAAAAUAUAUACUGUGUUGUCUUUUAGUUUUCAUCAUCUGCCCCACAGUUCAUACGUUCGCACAACACAGGCCAUUCAGCCCCUAGAGUCUUUGCCAGCUUUCCGACCAACCCAUUCUUCUCAACUCAGUAACUUCUCACCUGCACGGGUGCAGUUUCCAGCGGGCAAAGCUGGCACUCAGCAGUGUUCUGAGAUGUGGGAAGAAACUGAAGCAGGUGGGGGGAACCGGGUACAUGCAAACUCUACAGAACAGUAACUGAGGUCAGGAUCACUACUGCCACCCAAUAGUGCAGAAGAAACCAUUACCUUGCAGACUUAAGGAAAUGGAAGAUGGUUAGCCUAGUAAUCAAAUUACUCCAGAGAAAGGAAAAGAUCUCUAGUCAGGUCAGUCACUAGGUGAACUGAUUCAUUCAGCUCAGCAAGGUUUCUGGUUUCAUGCCCAGUCUGGGUGCCUCCCUCCCCUUACAUCCCACUGUCCCCAGGCUAGUGAAUAGAUGAUCAGCCAAUAAUGAUUCUCGAUUGACGGUAAGACAUAGAGCAGAAGCAGGCCACUUGGCCCAUUGAGUCUGCUCCACCAUUUCACCAUGGCUGAUUGGGUGUCCAUCUGGACCCCAUUUUCCUGCCUUUUGCCUGUAACCUUUGAUGCACGGAGUAACCAAGAACAUAUCAACCUCCACUUCAAAUAGAUUCAAUGACCCGGCCUCCACAGCCGUUUGUGGCAAUGAAUUUCACAGAUUCAUCAACCUCUGGCUAAUGGAAUUCCUCCUCAUCUGUUCGAAAUGAUGUCCCUCUAUUCUGAGGCUGUGCCCUCUAGUCCUAAACUCCCCCGCUAGAGGAAACUUUCUCUCCACAUCCACUCUAUCUAGGCCUUUCAAUAGUCCAUAGGUUUCAAAUGAAAGAUUCUCCUUCAUUCUUCUAAACUCCAGUGAGAUCAGGCCCAGAGCCAUCAAACACUCCUGAUACAUUAACCCUUUUAUUCUCAGAAUCAUUCCCAUGAAUCUCCUCUGGACCCUCUCCAAUGCCAGCACACCUUUUCUUAGAUAAGGGGUUGAAAACUUCUCUCAGUACUCCAAAUGCGAUCUAACCAAUGUCUUAUAAAGCCUCAGAAUCACAGCCUUGCUCUUAUAUUCUAGUUCUCUUGAAAUGAAUGCUAAUAUUGCAUUUACCUUCCCUUCCAACGACUCAACGUGCAAGUUAACCUUUAGGGAAUCCUGCAUAAGGAUUCCCAAGUCCCUUUGCAGCUCUGAUUUUUGAAUUGUCUCCCUAUUUAGAAAAUAGUCUAUGCUUUUAUUCCUUCUAUCAAAGUGUAUGAUCAUACACCUGCCUCUUCUUUGCCCAUUCUCCCGAUCCAUCC